UUGAUCAUGACUCUCAGUUGACCCCUAUUGAUUUUCAGGUCACUAUAUCAAAGGUCAAGGUCAUGGUGACCUGAAAUAGUAAAAUGGUUUCCGGAUGAUAACUCAAGAACGCUAAUGGCUACAAUCAUGAAACUUCAUAGGUACAUUGAUCAUGACUUGCAGAUGACCCCUAUUGAUUUUGAGGUCACUAGGUCAAAGGUCAAGGUCACGGUGACCCAAAAUAGUAAAAUGGUUUCCGGAUGAUAACUCAAGAACGCUUAGGCCUAGGAUCAUGAAACUUGAUAGGUAGAUUGAUCAUGACUCGCAGAUGACCCCUAUUGAUUUUCAGGUCACUAGGUCAAAGGUCAAGGUCACGGUGACCCGAAAUAGUAAAAUGGUUUCCGGAUGAUAACUCAAGAACGCUUAGCCCUAGGAUCAUGAAACUUGAUAGGUAGAUUGAUCAUGACUCGCAAAUGACCCCUAUUGAUUUUCAGGUCACUGGGUCAAAGGUCAAGGUCACAGUGACCCGAAAUAGUAAAAUGGUUUCCGGAUGAUAACUCAAGAAUGCUUAGGCCUAGGAUCAUGAAACUUUAUAGGUAGAUUGAUCAGGACUCGCAGAUGACCCCUAUUGAUUUUGAGGUCACUAGGUCAAAGGUCAAGGUCACAGUGACCCGAAAUAGUAAAAUGGUUUCCGGAUGAUAACUCAAGAACGCUUAGGCCUAGGAUCAUGAAACUUGAUAGGUAGAUUGAUCAGGACUCGCAGAUGACCCCUAUUGAUUUUCAGGUCACUAUGUCAAAGGUCAAGGUCACGAUGACCGGAAAUAGUAAAAUGGUUUCUGGAUGAUAACUGAAGAACGCUUAUUCCUAGGAUCAUGAAACUUGAUAGGUA